rnacentral:rRNA from 1 species
UAGGGAAUCUUCCACAAUGGGCGAAAGCCUGAUGGAGCAACGCCGUGUGUGUGAUGAAGGGUUUCGGCUCGUAGAACACUGUUGUAAGAGAAGAAUGACAUUGAGAGUAACUGGUUCAAUGUGUGACGGUAUCUUACCAGAAAGGAACGGCUAAAUACGUGCCAA